rnacentral:Y_RNA from 1 species
GGUUGGUCUGAAGCUAGUGUGUUAUCUCAACUGGAUUGCUCAUGGUCGGUUACAGACCCUUUCUCUCUUUUCACUAUCGCACUUGACUAGUCUUUA